AUUGAACGCUGGCGGCAGGCCUAACACAUGCAAGUCGAGCGGAUGAAGAGAGCUUGCUCUCUGAUUUAGCGGCGGACGGGUGAGUAAUGCCUAGGAAUCUGCCUGGUAGUGGGGGAUAACGUUCCGAAAGGAACGCUAAUACCGCAUACGUCCUACGGGAGAAAGUGGGGGAUCUUCGGACCUCACGCUAUCAGAUGAGCCUAGGUCGGAUUAGCUAGUUGGUGAGGUAAUGGCUCACCAAGGCGACGAUCCGUAACUGGUCUGAGAGGAUGAUCAGUCACACUGGAACUGAGACACGGUCCAGACUCCUACGGGAGGCAGCAGUGGGGAAUAUUGGACAAUGGGCGAAAGCCUGAUCCAGCCAUGCCGCGUGUGUGAAGAAGGUCUUCGGAUUGUAAAGCACUUUAAGUUGGGAGGAGGGGUUGUAGAUUAAUACUCUGCAAUUUUGACGUUACCGACAGAAUAAGCACCGGCUAACUUCGUGCCAGCCGCCGCGGUAA
rnacentral:rRNA from 1 species